CACUGCAGAGACAGAGUUUGUAAGUGGGUGCUUGGCUCUGGAGGUGGGAGGUGCAGGGGUCACAGACGAGGGGCAGCACGCGCCUACUUAAUCCCUGAACGCUCACAGCUCUCGAGAUUUCUAACUUCCCACGAAUGAACCAGGGUAAGGUCCGCAAUCUGGGACUCACUGCUCAUCGGUGCUGCGGAGCGAGGGAGGUAAGAUGACUGGAGGACUCUCUAGAGUUAACGAGAGUCCUGGAGGGUGAAGGGGUUGGGAGAGACCGCAAUGAAAUGCUCAGCACAACCUGGAAAUAACGCUGCCAUAUGAAAGGAAAAUUCUGAAUCGUUUCUAUCCUGGAGAAUGUGAACUUCUUGAAAACGGGGAGACACAGUACUGCAUAAGAAAAUUCCUUGGCAAACUAAAGGUAUAAUCAAGAAGAUUAAACCACUAGAGGUAUUAGGACUGUGGAAGUAGAAUUAAUUUCUCUAGCCUGUUCCUUGUUUUUUAUUUUUUAUUUUUUGGUCCUGUUUUUGGAGACACGAGGAUUCUUUGAUUGUUUGUUUUUUUAAGCCACUAAAGUAUUUAGAUUUAUUUACAGCCUCAGAUAAAAAUACAAAGAAUAAAAACCAAUAAGAAAAACUGUUUCCUUGGGGCUUUCUGGGUUCAGCUCUUGAAAAAUACUGUUAGUCAUGCCGAAAUAUUUUGUUGACCAACUUGUAAAGCACCAUUGAAAUCUUUAAUUAACUUACCUCUAAAUUAAUUUUUUAUUGGUUUCCUUGUUGCUGGGUUUCAUAAUCUCAUGGGCAGGCCUAGAAUUACUGUCUUUAUUAAGGUUUUGACAGUAAGAGACCAAAAGCAACCUUUGAUUAGAGAAAAGAACAUGUUAUAACACUUAACUAUAAAGAAAUAUUGCCCAAUUUUUGUGAUAACUGAACUUUGUUAAUUUGUCCAGUGUUAAGAAGGCAAGUUUAGCAUACAUUUAAAGCUGUAUUCCUAAAAGGAAAUCUUCUUAAAGAACAGAAUGAAGCUCUUUCAAAUGAGAAAGACAUUCUUGUCCUAUCCGCAGCAGUACUGGGCUCCCCUGGGGAUCAUGGAAAUUCCCUAUCAAAAAGCACCCCCAAAUGGAUUUUGCUGGGUUGGAAGCUUUUCUUUACCUCCAGUUUUGAGGAUACAGGUGAUACUUUUUAGAAAGUGGCUUAAAAAAUUAUAUUGCUUCAGAUGAAUCUAAGCUGGGGUGGGGGGUGCUCACAGUUCACAUCAAAGCUUAGUGGAAGAGAAGAAAAUAUUUUGGAUCAACAUCGCCAUAUUGUUUGGCUUUAAUUAUAUUAAUUGGAUUGAAUGAGUCUGUGACCCACAAGAAACCAGACUUCUAAAGAGAUUAUGUCCUAGGUGGAAGGGGAGGGUCUCUGUUCUCCAGUGACUGCUCUGGCUCUAGAGAACGACUAUUUGGUGGCCCUGAGAGUGUCAUGGACAAUAUUUCUCACUGGUUGCACUUGGGGAAAAAAAAGCAAACUGUAACAUGGUAGUUACCUCACAAAUGACAGUAAUGCUUAACACCUACUACCCUCAAACAGAUGAGCUACCACCACCACUUUGGCUAUUUGGUCUCAUAAAUGCAGGAGUACAUUUCUAUAAUAGCAUUGUCCACACAGAAACACAAAGAAAGAAUAACAGUAUUGCAAACACAUUGGAAUUUGGCAUGGAGCUGACAUAUAUCCAAAAUUUCCUAAUAUUUUAGUAACCUGAAGAAAAAAUUUAAAAUUUAAAUGUUUUUACUGUGUAUAUUGUUAUUUAGGUCAUUAAGUAAAUGAAACCUCUGAUUAUGGAGUAAAUUACCUGUAGUUCAAUGAAGGUAAGGUAUAAGAGUUGUCAUAAGUAUCUACAAUUUUAGCAAAUCACUGCUUAUAGCAUUCAAUAAUUUUUCAAAAGACAAAUUAAGACACAGGAAGCUUCAAUUAUGUAAUAUGCUGUUCUAAUUUCUGGCAUUUAUGUCAGAGCCAGCUUUGAGCUACCAUAUUCAGGAGUUGUAACACAAGUUAAAUGCACAACAAGGUGCAAACCCUGCCUUUCUGAAUAGUCCACCUACAGUACUCGGCUCAAAAUGCAUCUGAAUUUUUGUUCCUGCUCUGUGUUCAUGGCGUCUUCCUCAUGGAAGGCAGCGAUUUGCAUAUAGCACCAGGCAACCUUGCUAGGCAUAUCUAGAGAGAUCUGUGCUGAAACCCAGGAAUGAAACAGCACCAGAAGGACUUCUUACUGACCCUGGAGCUGGUGCUUAUGUUUAUUCAUGUGUGUUUAAUUUUUUUCCUUCUGCUGGUUGUGCCUUUUGGGUGUGCCGUUAGCCGCCACUAAUAUGGUCCCCAGCAUCCUUGCACAGUGCAUUUGUGCUGUGCUGAAGGGAGAUGACAUCAGUUCUGAACUACUGAGAACUAGGUUUCGUCUCUGGCUGUGCAGAACUCGCCGACCUACCGAGAAUUUGAUGCUUAUUUCCAUAGCAAAGAGAGGCUCUAUAGGACUUGUGAUAUGUGGGAAAUAAUACACACUUGGAAACUUGGGAAAGAAUUUUACAUACUUUCUUUUGGUGUUACUGCUGGGAUUAUGGUGGUGGCACUAUUUCAAAACAGGAAUUAACUUGAAAAACAGUUAUAUAAACUCAUUUUUAUAAAUAAUAAUAGAAAACAUUUACUAAACACUUGCUAAGCCAGACUCGAUGCAGGAGCUCCUCACCUGAGUAAUUCUUUGUUGUGGGGACCAUUCCCUGAAUGGUUAAGAUGUUUAGCUGUAUCUCUAGUUUGUAUCAACUGGAUGUCACUUACAUCUCCUCUCACCCCAAGCUGUGACAGCCUAUCUGUCUCAGAUACUGCCCAGUGUCCCAUGGGGUAUGCAGUUACUCCCAGGUCAAAGUUUAGCUCUACACUAAGCAUUUCUCUUAAAAUAUUUUCGGUAUCUCCUAAUAUGCCUUUUAGGUAGACAGGCCAUAAAUAAACAAAAUGAAGAACACAGAUAAUCACCUUACUGUAUACAACAACAAAGAGAAACAAUCAAAUGAAAAUUUUUUUAGGAAAUGAAGCACAGUUACUGUGCAUUAAAAUUUGGCUCCCAGUUUUAAAAUGUGGUGCUAAUCUGAUACAAUUGUCUGAACUCCAUCAGCAAGAGAGUGGUAUGAAGGCUGUAUUCAAACAGUGCCCCACUGCUGCUCACGACUCAAAUACAAACUGAAUAAACGGCAAGCAAAAGUCACUAUAGCAGCUCUAGUUCUCAGCACUGCCCACGUGACUACAGUUUCCUUAAGUUCUCCAAGGACACGAGCUACAUGUUUGCCACAUUUCUGCACUGAAUGUUAGAAGAAGACUUCAGCAUCGGACCCACAACCAAGCAGGCUUCAUUGCCAUGAAAGGUCACGACCAACUCACCAGAGUCCAUUUCCAUAUUAGCACUGAAGAGCUUCACAAAAUUAAUUCUUAUUUCAUUGAAUCUAAGACACCACUGCAAGACAUAUCAUUACCUUUGUGUGAGGAAGAAGGGAACCAUCCUCGUUUAAUUAAAUCAUGAAUUUCAUUGUUUGUAAGGCCCCUGCUUGUCACAAAGGCAUUAAACUGUGAGGAAGAUCUGUGUUCCAUGCCUGAUGAAUGAGUUGAUGGAGAGAACGCCUGACUGAUGAACAAUGGAGUGUUAUCCUUAUCCUAAUCUGAUCAUUUAAUUUGUUUUAUUACUCAUCUUCAGUAAUAAUAUAAAAGCAAACCAGGACUAACCUUUCUUAUAGGAACAGGGUAAGCAUAAAAAAUUGUACCCUUGGAAAGCUUUUGUAUUAUGAGAAUACAGAACCUUCAAGUUUAUCAGGCUGAAUCAACAAUCUGAUGGUGAUUUUUUGUCUGAAAACUCCAUGGGCAUCCUUUACCUCUUGAUCAAAAUUACCCAAACAAAUUGAACAUGAACUUUGGAGGGAAUAAAAAAAAAAACUACUUAGGAAGCCUCCCGAGAAUUGGCCAUGCUGGCCUGGGAGGAUCCAACAAGAAGCCAAUCAGCCACCCUUUCUGGUAAGCUGUGCAAACCAUGCAGCUUCCAGGAAGAGAAAAGUCAGUGAGCCUACCAGUGCACUGACUGAGAAUCAACCACCCUCCCCUCCAGCAACCUGCUGGUUAGGAGGACAGGCUGAGUUGAUAGCAACUAAGUGCCAUUUUGGAUAAUAUCUCAAGGCUUGACAGAGCAGGAAGGUGGCACAGGAAAAAAUGUCCAGGGGCAAUCCCGUAUGGCGUCACUCAAGCGUAUGGGUAAAUUCUGACAAUUUAGCUCAAAUAAAAAGCUCAUGAGCCUGAAAUUACCAUGGAAUUUUGACUGAAAGAAGCCUGACUAGCAAACAGUAAGAUAAAUGUUCAACAAAAUGCCUUGUGAUUCACUUUUUGGGAUAAAGUUUCAUUUCUAAAAUGCAACUGUGUUCAACUUUUUUUUUAACCAAACAAUUUAAGAAAACUCUGCAGGUGUUUUCUAGGAGAAAGUUCUUAUUUUCCUAGUCCAUCAGGAAAGAGGUGAAAAAGGCACAUUAGAAACUGAAAGGUAAGCUAGCAGGUAAGUCUGCCAAUUUUGGGGGAAGGCAUUACCUUUCAACUCUGAUCUGCAGGUUCGCUGGACUGUUUUAAAUGUGACCUUGUCUGACCACAUCUAAGAUAUUUGACUUUGAUUUCAGAUUAGGUUUCUCAGAAAGGUUUAGAAAUCAAAGUGCCCAUGGAGUGUGGACAAAAAUUUGAUAUGACAGUUUUUUGUAGAACAGGCAAGAGGCCGGCCCCAAGGAGUGCACGUUCAGCAUCCACUGCUCAUUAGUGAUUACAGAAGGAUUUCCCACUCGGAUGCUAAGCUGCUGGCUUGGGCUUCCAGACACAUUAUUUCCCAAUAUAAUGGUCUUCGCUUUGAGAAGGAAAUGAAUUUAAGAAUGAAGAACAAAAUGGGAAAAUACAAUGCAAAUAGAUUUCAAGUGUCAUUUCCCUCUGUGCAGUAUUUAUUUCCCCCACUAACUUUGUGAUUUUGUUAGCCUAGAUCACCAAAGUACCCUUUUAUGCCUAACAGAGCUAUUUAAGCUCCAUGUGAAAAAAGGAGCCUCAUAUUAAUUCAACCAUGGUUACCAAGCAUGCUCAAAGUUAUACCAUUCAGAAAUGUGCCAGACACAUUUUGCUGGUAAAUGUAAAGCAUUAUAAAAAGUUUAAGAGUAGAUGGUAGAGCAAUCUAAAGUAUGAAUAUUAACACAUUUGACUUUAAUUUUUUAUUUUAUAAAAAGGAAACAUUCCUUUGAGCCCUUGUCUAACAAAUACUAUGGUUUGCAGUACUUAUUCCAGAAAGCUUAACAGUAUAUAUUAUGGACUGAAAGAGCCAAUUUGAGCAUCUUCACCAAAACAAAACUAUUCAUCAUUUAACUUACAGUGUUUUGAUGUACACAAAGACUUUGGGCAUACUUUUCCUAGGUUUUCUGAAUGAAGUUCUUACAAGUAUUCCUAUAAAUUACUGAGUGGCCUAGUGACUUGCACAAAGAUAAUUCUUAUUAUUUGUGACCAAUUUUAGUAUUAAAAAUGUUACUUCAACAAGAAACUAAUAUAAUCAUUAUCACAAUUUGAAAUUGGGAUAAUGUCAUCUGUUUAUCAACAAACACUUAUUAAUACCUACCACGUUCCAGGAAUUAUGCAAAACACUGGUGAUAAAGUGAUAAUAAUAAAACUGACAUAGUCCCUGUCUCACGGAGCUUACAGACCCGUGACGGAAAUCAACAUUAAUCGAGUGGUGACCAAAGUAGUUCUUGAUAUGGUUACUCACUGAGAUGAGUCCUGUAAAGCACAGGGGCCACAGAGGUGGACAGAGGGCUCCCUGAGGCAGACCUCGGGGUCAGACUAGCCGAGGCCGCAGGCCAUGAUGAAGACUUUGGAUUUCAUUUUGCAGAAGUUAGAAAAUCACUGAAGAGUUUGAAUUCAGGGUAAGGCAUGGUCUGAUUUCUGUUUCAAGCCUCUGCUUGACUACUGAGCAGAAACUAAACACGAGUACAGUGUGAGUGGAAAUAAGGAAACUCUCCCAGCAAGUGACCGUAUUUGUGCAGGCAAGAGGCAGAGGUUGUGCAGAUCUGGCUGCAGUUUUUAAGCAGAGAGGCUGGUAAAGACGUAUGCUUUUGAAGUAGAGAUGAUAAAUCUGAUAGGCUAACUGUAGGUUAUGGGGGAAAGGGCAAAAUCAAGGAUGGCUUCCAGGUUUCUGGUUUGGGCAGCUGAAGAGAUGGGAUAACACGAGACAGGAAAUACUGGGAAAACAGCAUUAGAAGUGAAAAAUAUGUUUGUUUGUAGAAAAUGGAUUGGACAUAAAGAAGAUAGUAGUAUAGGUGGCGAUACUUGCUUGGUCAGAGUGAAGGAAUACGGUGUCUAACAGUAAUCAAAUGAACCUGGUUGAACUUAAAACAAGGAAUCCCCAGAGAUAGUCAUUUCAAUACACAAACAGUUCAAACAAGCUGUCCCUUGAUAGGAAGGGGUAAAAGAGAGUUGAUGGAAAGACUGAAUUAGUAAUCGGGUGUGGGUAUGGUUUAAAAGAAGCCCACCAUCUGACAGAGGCAGAAUUAGAAAGGGCUAAACUCAUGCAGGGUCUGGCCGUAUUCCAAGGCUUUGCAUAGUUAUCUCAUUUAACCAUCCCAGUAAAUCAACAAAGCUGAACAGUGGGCCUGGGAAUUAUGAACAGAGACAGGUGGCUUCAAAAUGGCACAACCACAGGCACACCGCUGUCCACCUGCUGCAGCAAAGGUGAUGUUCCUGUUGGGAACAGUAACAGCACAACAGAACAACACAACCUCCCUGCAGUCAUCCACCCGCGGUGGUCACUGCUAUCCCCAACUUCUACUGCUAAUGAAACGGAGACUGAUUAAGUACUUUCUACACAGGAUACCUUAAAAGCCUUGUUAAUGUCUGGGUUGGCAGCAUCCUACCUAGUGAUAGGUGUCUUUUGUUUAUUCAAGGACUUGAAUGGAACUGGCUUAAAGAUUCACCACACAUAUUCUUCUCUUGAAAUUAUUAAGAUUUAAAAAUGAUCAGGGAAUUCUCAAGGUAACGAAUCUGACAGCAAACAGUCUUCUUGUUAUGCUUUCUAAAUUAUCAAUGAAGAAAAGCAGCUGUUAGUUGAAAUGUUCAAACCUCAGAGGUUUAUUAAUGGGUCUAUUAUCUCUUUAUGAAGAAGGUGACAUUUUGAUACUCAAAUAAAUACAGAUUUCUGCUGUUUCAUUCUGGGGGAAAUUUCCAUCUUUUCAUUUCCAGUCUUUUGCCAGGCAAAAGAGGAUUUUUACAUCAUCAUGCAUCAUUAAGAUGUGAUAGUUAAGGGGGAUUUAGUUGAGCAGCAUAAGCACAUGCCUGGCAAGCAUGAAGUCAUGAGUUUGAUCCCCAGUAUCAGGAAAAAAAAAAGAUACAAUAGUUAUGUUUAGUGUGUCUCAUUUAGUGGCUAUAUAUCUGAGAGGUCUUGCUUUUGGGAACAUUUAAUUCCUUAAAUUUGCAGAUGAAAUCACUUUUCUAGUUUGCACAUAGGACUCUUGACUUUUUCCUCUUGGACAGCAACUCAAUUUACUUCAGAGACUGAUUUUUUGCCCCCCAUCUUUGAGCAAAACUCCCAAACAAUGUAAAUCUCUGCUGACUUAGAAGCCCAAGGUCAGCUUCCCAAAUGCCUGGACUUUAAAGUUAUUGUCCCUGCAAGGCCCACUGCAGAGAUGUUGGAACAUAGAGCUGUGUUCAGACACAGUGCUGAAGCUUGCCACGAGGCCUUAAAACUUCUCUCAUUUCAACUCACUCCAGACGUGGGCAGUGUGACCUUAUCCUCUUUCAAGGAUUUGAUAGCUCUUUACCUGGAUGAGGAAAUUUGGAGACUCAACAAAAAUGAGUCUCAGAUUCCUGACAUUCAAGACAUCCCAAUGAAGUUCUGCCGAGCUGCUAAGUUCUCUAGAAGGAACCCAGAAGACCAAAGGGGAAGGACAGAAUUUGGCUAGGAAGCUUCCUGGUGGGACUAAGAUGCUGAUCUUAGAGGAAGCCCUGAAGGUUGGAGGCUGGGAAGACCAGAGCUGCAGCAAAUGCUUAUUGGGCAGGUGAUCUGGCAGGGUAGCCUCUGACUCAAGUGUAGACACAGGAGACUCACAACCUGGAUGGAUGGGCUUCUGUAGGUAUGGCAGGGGCAGGGGUGUUGACCAACUGGUACAUCUUUCCCAACCUAGGAUUUUUCUCUUGACCACACUGAAGGAAUGUUAACCCUUUGGGCUCUGCCCGAUGCCCUUUAGGCAAGCAUCAUUUCUGGCUCCAGGUGAAUGGCUCGUCCAUGGCCAUGAGUGGAUGGCUGCAGGUUGUAUACCCGGGCUCGCCGAUUCGUUCCAUGCUAACUGCUGACAGUUGAGCCAGUGGGACCCUCAGAGACGCCCUCACAGACCUCCUCAAUCUUUCUGUUUUAAUCUAGCAUCACACCUGGAGCUAGCAUGAUGGGCAUGGAGGCAAAAAGGCAGGUGGCGACUGUGCCCUUCUGGCUCUGAGGACCCACAUCCACGAGAACAAGAGCUGACAGCAGCUCCAAGGCACAGUCAACCCUGAGACCAAGGGACAACAGCAGCUGGCUGCAGGAUGCUGGCUCUCACUGUGCUGAACGGCAGCAGAAGGCUUGGUGUCAGACCGAACUAGGCUCCCAUGUGCCAUUUUACCCCAGUGUUGGGGGGGGGGGCGGCACAAGUGACUUGGGGCUCUGUCUGUUCUCUGUAGGAGCAGGGCUAAGAAGCUCUUAUGUUCACACAACAUGAAAAUAAUAACUCAGUUCAACAUCAUCACCACUACUGCUUCUACUCAAUGUGUUUUUUACAGGAAUAUUUCCAAAAAGAUGCGCACUUAGAAGUAUUAACUUACUGUAGUCAAAGAGGAACUUUCUAGCAGAGAUCUCGAUGGUAAAGGUGGGAUCAAGUCUGGCAAAAUCUUACCUUUGUGAAUAAGUAAAGUGCUUUCCUUUCUAAAGGGCACAGAGAAAUCCAGAGCAGACAUUUAAAUGUUAAAGUUGUUUUUCUGCUGUGCUUUCCUCUCCUAUAGUCUAUUACUUAUUUUAUGCUCUUUUUCUUACCAAAGUAAGAGAAAGAAAGAUAUCACAUUCACAUGCCACAUCUCUUUUCUGCUCCAUCAUUUCCUGCUCACACCUUCCAUCUCCAGGACUACUUCCGUUUCCUCUUUGUUUUUUGGGAUGCCAGGUCUCAAGUGUCCUGGGACAGACUUGCUCCAGUGAGGGCCAUUAGGGAGUCCACAGUCACUCCCUUCCCUGCUCUGCAGGGUCCUGGGGGGAGUGGACACAGUCCUUUGUCCAAAAGCCUGUCUCUUAUUGGCCAUGGGAACCCAUGUAGGGAUACUUUUGUAGGGCUUCUCACAAAACAAGAACAGCUCUAAAAAGGGCCACCAAAACCAAACUCUGAGGAGGAAGGCAGAGAAAGCUUCAGUAGAAAACAAGGGCUGUGACUUUAGGGCGUGAAGCCAGUGUUGACAGGCCUGCCUGAUGGCUGUCUGUGCCUAGGACCACCCUGGUACUUAUUACCAUGAGAAGGAGCUGAGAAAGCAUGAGACUGUCAGGAAACACCAUAGGAGAAAGCGGAUGUGAGGAUGUGAGAAGUAAGCCGGACAGGGCACUGGGCCAUCCUCCUGUCCCCAUGGCUCCACAACAGCCCCGCCUUUGCAACGCCACAAAGACUAAGAAAAGGACUGAGAUUCACAUGUCAGCUCCUGGAGCACGCUCAAGGCUGCAGUCAGUACGAUGCCAAGUAGGUGGCCCAGCCUAAUAAGGGCAACACAGGCCCCCAAAGUAGGGAAACAGAACAGGGAGCUUCCACUCUCCACCCCCUGCUGUCUCCUGGGGAUUGUGGAGCACAGGGCCCUCCAGGGGUGCUGCCCCUCCUCCACUCUCACAGUGUAGCAAGACAAUGCCCAAGGGAGAAGACGGUCAGCAGAAAGCACACAUGAAAUCAGCCACUCAGGCUGUGAUCCAUUACUUUUGCUUUGCAAGAACAGAACUUAGCCAGUUUUUCUUCCCAUGAAGGAACGAACAAAAGCCAAAAGAAUCUGCAGAUGCUGUACCUGCUGAAUCUGAUUCAGGGCUGUGCUACAUUACCAGGCCCUGAGCCCCGUAUUUCCAAGCACACUGAUUACUUUUAUAGGAACUCUUUCUUUUCGAAAUUAUGAUUAUCUGUCACCUGACUUCAGCUAAAUUGUGACAUCAGCAUUUUUCAGGGACGAGGUGGACGAGGUGGUGCAAUGAGGACCCACUCUGUGCCUGUCACAGGGGCAUUUAUGAAAGCAGUCUGGGUGGCAGGGAGGACAGCGGAUGAGGCCUACGUCCUAGUACCCUCAUAGUCAGCUGUGAGGCCUGGAGGUGAGGUAAGCAGUGGCGGAGAAAGUCGCCAAUGGAAAGCUAUGACUGGUCAAGAACAGUGGCCCAAGAUUUUGGCACUCACAGGUGGAGAUGAUCAGAGGUCUGGGCUGGGGUCCUCAAGGUUACCCAGAGGCAUUGGUCUGCAAGCAGAUGAGAGUGCAGUGAUAGUCCCACUUGAUGUGACCUGUUACUACCCAAGGCAGUCAGGGACAGAUCUGGGAGCUCAAGUCACCAUCAGGAAUGUUCUUGCAGGAAAGCAACCAGUGUAGUCUGUUCCUGUACUCUCCCAUGCUGGCUCGGUGUCUGCUCAUAAAGCUUAUCCUCCCUCCAAGGUUAAUCAGUCACUCAAGGUCAGUGGGACAGAAUGCAUUCCACUGCCACCUCUAGCCCUGCUCAUGGUCAGUCUGGCUUCUCUUCCAUUACCUCCAAAUGGAAGAGCCAUCUCACAGACCACUGUCACACAGACAUCCAGCUGGCCCUGUGCAUCCCCAGGUGGGUUCCACAUCCAUGGAUCCAACCAACCUGGGACCCAGUUAUUUACGAGCACUGACUGAAAACUGUGUUAGGUAUUCUAAGGAACCCGGAGAUAACUUCAGAUAUCUGCAAGGGACUUAAGCGUCCCCAUAUCUGGGAGAUGAAAUGUGUUAGGAGUCCUGGGACCAAUUACUCACUGGGCCCAAGGAUUGAACAUUUGCAACUGUUUUUGGUUAACCAGCUGCGCUUGGGGUAAAAACUGUCAUCCUAGGACUGAGAUGUGCGUGAGUACCUGAACCUACAUCCAGAGUCACUGGAAGUUCAGAAGACAGAGCGACUCUCAGUCUGCAUUAUUCGAGAGCUUCCUGUCUUUUCUUGUGCCCUUUCCUACACCUCCUGGUACAGAAAAGUCAAAAGCACCACCACAAAAGUAAUAUGAAAAGAAGACACAAAAACCAGUGAAUGUGUCAGCGGCUCACAACAUGAAGACUUGUAAUUAAAAGUGACAAUUAUGUUCAGUAGUUUUCUGCGAAUUUAAAUGACCCUAUACUGCUCUGAGCUACAAGAGUGGCUAUAAGGUGGGGUUUUUUUUUUCCCUUUGAAGACCAGCAUGUGCUCAAUUAGCAUUUUAGAAUCACUGUUAGGAUUAUAUUUAAUCACUGACUUCCACGAGAACAUGGCAGAUAGAUAACAGCAGCUACGGAGGUUCUCUGAAAUAGCCAGCUUAGAUUCCAGGAAUGGUGUGGUGUGGGUAGUCCUAAGAAAGGGAAGAUAUCCCUGCUGACCCAGGAACGAAUAAUUAGAAAUGCAAUCCCGCUGCUAUGUCGGAAACAGCUAAAGUCUCAGUGCUGAAGCUGGAACCCGCGCCUCUGGAAACCACGGCUUGGAUUUCCUGCUGCCGCUGCUGCAUCUGAAUCGGCACAGCAGGGAUAGAGACUCGAAAGCUCUAAGAGCAGGAAUCCGCGAACCGAGUUGAGAGUAGAGCUGGUGGAGAGCCUUGCAUCGACCUGUGGUGAGUGAGAGGAACGGGGACCCUUCCAUAGACUAGGAGGCUACAGCAGAGGACAUUGUGGGACUGGGCAGACUAGCCGGAACAGGACAGUGCAGUGACUUCAGUCACAUAUUCCCCUCUCAAGCAGGAUUGGUGGGGAGAGCUUGACCUGGGUGACACCGCGAACUAUGACUCAUUAGGCUAGCCCAAACCAGGUCCCUGUGCCUGGCAGUGCACCCUAAUGCAGUGAGGCCUUCAGCAGGUUGACUGACCUGGAGGGGCAGGCCCAGCAUACGCUGCCCAGGUCUGUGUCUCCCUAGUAUACUGCAGUGGGUGGGAACACCUAGCUGGUGUGAUUCAAACAAACUGUAACUGACAAAGGAAGAAACUGGGCCUCCUAUUUAUGCUUGUAUGGAAGGAACAAAAAGAAUGGGAAGAGGGAGCCACAAGAAAGGGUUCUCGGUCCCCAAUCCUGAGAACACUGAUCCAGGAAAGGUAAAUGCAAAGGAGAAUGAAGACAGAAAACAUGCAAUAUCAGGCACGGCACCAAUAGACAUAAAGCAAUAUCUCCGGGACCUCAUAGAUGAGUUCAAAAGUGAAGUAUUUAACCAAGUAAAGCAAGGUAUAAGUAGAAUAGUUAAAGAAAUGCUAAGCACCUCCCAAGAAAAAACAGAUGGUGGAAUGGAAGAACAGAAAAAAAAGGGGAGAAUUGUUUAAUGGAGAAAAUAGAGAAAAUGGAGAAUACAUGAAACAGGUUCAAAGAGAUUACCAGGAAACUAAAAACUCUAUUGAAAGAUGGCAUAACAGCUUGAAAGAAACUAAGGAUAGAUUAUCUGAAUGGAGGACAGAUUUGUAAUGUGAGAGCAUGAAAGGAAAAACUUCUUAAAAAUAACAAGGAAACAAGCAGUAACAAUACAAAGGCUAGAAGAUGAUAAGAGGAUCUAUAACUAAGAAUUAAGAAUGUAAAGGAAGAAGCAGGGAUACAAACAAAUGAACGAUAAAGGCUAUUCACAGAAAUAAUCAAGGAGAACUUCCCUAAUAUGGGAAAAGGUAAAGAUACUCAGAUGUAUGAGGCAUACAGGACCCCAGCCACCUACAACCCAAACAGAACUACACCCAGGCAUAUAAUAAUCAAAAUUCCAGAAAUCCAAUAUAAGAACAGAAUAUUAAAAGCUGUCAGAGAAAGACAGAUCACUUACAAGGGAACACCCAUCAGAAUUACAGCAGACUUCUCAGCACAAACCAUCAAAUAACAAAGAGCAUGGGGCAAAAUAAUUCAAGCUUUGAAAGGCAAUGACCUCCAGCCAAGAUUGAUAUAUCUUGCACAACUGUCCCUAGAAAUUAAUGGAGAAACAAGGUUCUUCCAGGAUAAAAAGUAGGGGAAUUUGCAACCACCAAUUCAACUCUACAGAGAAUACUGCAGGACAUUCUAAAAGAGAAACAUACCAAGAUUCCAGAAACAGUGGCAGAGAGGCCACAAUGAAUGGAGCAAAAAGCGAAAUGAAGACAAACUGACAACUAAUAACGAAAAAGAGCUCAACAGAAAUGAGGCAGAGAAGAUUGGAGGAUAUGAACAGCUAUUUUGGAGAAAACAAGACAUCAUAAUAGCUAGUGCUGAUUUAAUAUCAUCUUGUUUUGAAGUCCCAUUAAGCUUUUGUUCUACUGUCUCCAUCGGUCUUAACAUAUUAUAUCUUAAUGGAUUUUAUUAUAUGUGAUAAUAUAAACAAAAAUUUUUAUAGACAAGGAGAUAAUACAGAAACCAUUGUUUAUUUUCUGUUAGUUGAUUCUAAAUAACCUGUAACACUGUCAUUCUCUUGAAUGGUUUUACAUUGUCUUGAUAUGUUUGAUGCUACAGUAUAUGAAGUUAUACUCAAAGAUUUCAAGGAAAGAGACACUAUGGUAACUACUUUUAUGUCGGGAUAUCUUGUGGUGAAACACUAUUUUGCUUAAAUGGUUAUGUUCUGACCUGUGCUGUUUUGUUGUUAAGUCCUCUUUUAUCUCAAUCUUUUUAUUAUUUAUUUAUUUAUUUAUUUAUUUAUUUUUAUUUAAGGGAAAAAAUAAAAAAUAGCACGAUAUAUUAUAGUAACCCACUUUGAUUUCCUAUUAACUUGAUUUGAAACCCUGUAUUGCUCUCACCAUCUUGUUUUGACUGAUUUUACUCUAUUCUGUUUUGCUUGAUAGUACCAAGUUUGAGUAUAGGCAACAACUGAUAAGACAAUAAGACUCACUAUGAUGCCCAUUCUGGUUUGACUAUUGUCUUCUUUUAAAGUCCUGUAAUGUCUCUAAUGUUUUGGUUUUAUUGGUUUUGUUCUGUACCGUUUUCUUCAAUUUUAUUAUAACUGAUGAUAUAGGCAAUCUUUUUAAGAUAGCAAGAGGCAUUAUGGCAACCAUUGUUGAUCACCUUGGAUUCUGUUUUUACAUCAUGUACUACAUCCAUCCUUUUGAUUUGACUGACUCUGUUUUGUUAUGUCACAUUUGGUUUUAUUCUCUUCAAAAAAAGGUAAUAAGAACUGUGGGAGUAAUAAAAUGCAAAAUGUGUAAUUGUCAUUGUAAAAAAGAGAGGAAAAGAAAGUGCUCUAAAGGAUGUAACUGCACAUAUAUUUAAGUGUAUAAGAUAAGAUAACCAUAUUACUGAGUUUUUGUGGAUCAUUGAACAGAACUGUUUGCAGUCUUACUGUUUGAAGGUCCAUUUUAUAUGCUUUAAUUUUGUAACUUGAACAACUAUUUCUAAGAUGAUAAUAUGUAAUCUAUUAACUAGUGAUUUCCUACUGUUUUUGUGAAAUUCUGUAUAACUUGUACCUUUUUGUUUUUUUCUCCUUAAAUAAAAUUUUUAAAAAAGAUUAUAUUUAAUCAAAAGUCAAAAUCCUAAUUAUAAUUCUGAAGGACUUUUGAUAGAGUCCAUUAGUAAUUUAACAUUCUAAUUAGUUCUGGAAGAUGGCAUUAGUCACCUUAUGGAAAACAGAUUAUCUCUUUAAUAUUGGACACCAGUGAGAACUACUAUAUUUUUGUGGUCUUUGUCAAGUAAAGUUUAGAUGUGAUAGAGAAACUGGUUAUUUCAUUAGCACACAGGUCUCACCACGGAACUUCUGAUGCCCCUGCAGUGUUGGGGUUUAGUUUGUGUGGCUUUCUUCAAAAAUAGACUUCCUGACCACUCUCUAAGUUCUGGAGUCACUCUGGUAUUAUUGCCAUUGUUUGUGACCUUUUUCAAGAAGAUUUAAGAUUGAUCUGCCUUCUAGAAUCCUGAGCUGUGUCAUGCUCUUUACUCCUCUGAUGUUGGGCUUAUGUCUGCAUGUUGAGUGUGUGGCAUGGGGUUGGAAAGUCAUAAACACACAGCAUUUUCCACCUGAUAAGGCAGGAAAGAUAUGCCAAGAGGAAAUGUGACACUGAGAGGUAGAACUUGGGAAUUUCUUCUUCAGAAGUUCACUCACAGAAAAGCCAAGUCAACACCACCCAUGUGGAAAAGCUGACCACCCGAGUACUGUCUUCUCUGAUGUGUCAGAAAAUGAAACUAAAAACUGGGGGCCAGGGGAUUUAGCUCAGUAGCAUAAGUUCCUGCCUGGUAAGUAUGCGGUAGUAAAUUCAAUUCUUGGUAUAAAAAAGAAAAAGAAAGAGAAAGAAAAGAAAGGAAGGAAGGAAGGAAGGGAGGGAGGAAGAAAGAAAGAAAGAAAGAAAGAAAGAAAGAAAGAAAGAAAGAAAGAAAGAAAGAAAAGAAAAGAAAAGAAAGAAAGAAAAGGAAAAGUGAUUGACAGGUAACUCGCAUAAAAAUUUGGUGAUGUCUACAAGUUUCUCUUCCUUGAGAGGAGGGAGAGAACUAUUUUAUAACUAUAAAGACUUCUUUGCCCUCAAAUACAGCAAUCUGGUAUCAAGUAUAUUUCACACAUGCUACAGAUUACACCUAAUUUUUGUAAGAAUAUAAAAAGAUAAAAAUUCUGCUGUGAGAAAUGCAUAGAACUGAGGGAGAGAGAUGGAUUCCCCAUACACCAGCAGACAUCAGGCAAUGACUGGGACAUUCUAGUUGGCACAGCUGAGAGGGUACAGUGCUGACAUCUACUGUGCACAGACCGAGGAUACUGAUAAUUAUACCACAAUGCCUGCUUCAGUCAGCUGUGAUGAGGAAGGCUGGACCCAAAAGUUGAAAUGCCCACAGUACUGAAGCUGGGAAACCCUGGUUCAUACUUGAAGUCCACCGAAUGCUCUGGGGAUCACUAUCCGUGUCUCCAAUUAGAAAUUCAGUCUCUCACUUCCCAGAUAAAAGAGUGUCCCAAGGAGAAACCUAAGUAUUCUGGUGCUCAAGCUUGACCAAUUGCUAUUUAUUGCUGGACUGUUACAUACCCGCAUAUUCUACCACCGAUGAUUAAAGUUAAAACUAAAAAAGGCCCUGUAUCACAUGCAUUGUCAGAGCUACAGGAACAACCCUAAUGUCAUGUGUAUGGUGAAGAGCAACCUUUGCUUUCUUAGAAAUGCCCACCUACAUUCACGUCACCCUUUACAAAUUGUUUGCGUAACCAAAGCUGUCAUGAAGGUCUGUGGAUCCUACUGGGCAUGUCUGUUCACAAUGACCACACUUCCGGCUCUCCCCAACAUCCUCAAGAGGAUAGUGCUGCAUCAUAGUGUGCAAAUUCAUGGCCUGGAGAGCCAGCCUGGACACCAGACAGUGCUGGACCUACAGGCCUAGACAGCUUCUUAUCUACUGGGAAAGUCAAUGCUCUAGAGAGAAGAGCUUCUGCUACCUCUGCGAUUCCCUGCAACUUUGACUUCUGAACAGGAUGUGUUCUUCUCUUCAGCAAAUUUCUCAACUAUUGCAUUGUUCUGAAAUUUCACAUGGAACUAUUUUUGUUGUCAGAAACUGUCCUAGCACUUUGCAUGGUAGCAGCAUCCCUAGCAUCUGCUCCCUGGACCCUAAUAAGACCUCCAUUCCUAUUUGUAAUAAUCCAAACUGUCUCCAAACAUUACCAAAGGCCGGAGUAGGGAGUGCUGGUGUUGCUGGUAAACAAAACAAAACACCCUGUAUUUAAGAACCACUAAGCUCUUCCAACGUAGCUUGGGCAAGGAAAGCUUAUCAAGUUCUCAGAAGUGACUUGAUUUUAAUCAAAUGUGCACAGGAGGGGCACACAAAGCUUCUUUAUGGAUAGAAGUUGGAGAGAUUCUCACAUCCCCUCAGCAAGCCAAAGGUGGAAAGCCUGGUGUACCGAGAACGUGAUAUGUGCAACGUGAAAUCAAUUCCCACGCGUAACAACAGGGAUCCCAAAUACAAUGAAUAGCAUUUCCUCCCUGAUGUCAUGUCCCUGACCCCAUGGGGUUCCUGGACAUGUCAUGUCUGAUUCAAAGAUGACCAAGGAGAUGGAAAUGACUUCAUUCAUGAUUUCUGCCAACAAUCAGGCAGGAAUAGGUGAGGUGGCUAGGUGAGCCUGUUUUGUUUUGCUUUGGGCUCAAGAAAAACAAACACAAACAGCACACAGUUUGGGAAAAAAUCUUUCAUUUUCAAAGGAAUCUGGACUCUUGGUAGCAGUGGAUUAAAAUGAGCAAUUGGAUAUGGUCUGCUAUCUAGUGGAACUUAAUUUCAAGACUUGCAACAAAAGUCAGGGUUUCUCUGAGAAAAGGGAAGUAAAAACUCCUCACUAUUCCCAAAAAGGGUUUUAUUUCAGUUGCGGAGUGAGGGGGGAUACAGGGAAGAGAGGAGAAUACCAGGAAGGACCCAAAAUGGUUAACAGUAGGAAAGACCACAUCUGCUGAGCUAUGACUGUAAUACCUACUGCUUUUAUUAUCAUUUUAUUAGGGUACAAAUCUGGAUUAGAAACAGCUCCUUAAAAUGUGUCAUCCUUUUUAAAGUCUUGAGAUAAAUCCAGAUCUACUCUUUAGUCUCUUGUGAAAGAAAACACAUACUCCAGACAUAUUUGUACUUUUGAAAGAAAUGCAAAACAAUAUAUUUUGAACAUUUUCAGACUUUCAAAAAUAUCUUUUAUUCUCCUAUCUAGAAUCCCAAACUACCAACUUUUUACAAGUGUUCCUCCUCCUCUAUAUACCAUUAUUUUGUCUUUUCCCUGAAGAGUUUGAGAACAAAUCAAAGACAGAAUGCCCCAUCAUCACUAAAUCUCUAUUUUCCCACAUUGAGGGGACCAUUCUACAUAAAUAUCAUCUAAUUCUCUAAAUCAGGACAUCACUAUUGACACAACACCACAGAACAAUUCCGUGUCUCUUCAUUUUUGCAUUUCUAGAUCAGUCUAGUGAGAGUUCAACCUGUGAGGAGCUGGGUCCAUUCACUCAUUCCAACACUGUCUGCAGCCCCCGUGCAGAAGGCACCAUGUUUGUCAGCCUCUUCAUCCAAGAGGAAAUAAAGGUUGAAGGAUCAAACAGUCACUUGAGAAACCAGUUUUUCACUUGAUACACGGUGUUUCUGUCUACAUUUCUUGUCCAGUCUUUGCUAAGCAACAGGAAACAAAGCUAUUCUGGUUUGUCCUGUUAGAUUCUCUCCUCUUCAUUUUAGCAGGUUCCCCAAACUGUCUACCUGCCACAUGGAUCAAGGAACACAGUGAUGGAUGGAAAAAUGAGGGGCAAAGAGAAGAGAGAAUGAAACACAGAACCAAAAGCCACCGACUGUUCCACCUGUGGAGAUGACAAGCUACCCAGUGACACAGUGCAAAGGCAGAGUCUGAUUCCUGUUACUAGUUUUAGCUCAGGAAAUGGUUUGAAGACACUGCAAGACAUUUAGUAUGUUUCAUCUCAACCAGAGAGGAGUUAGUGUGGGGUCAUUUUCAAUAAAUUUUAAUGUCAUUUUUCAUAA